AUCCACGUUACCAUGGGAACUGUUCCUGAGUUACAGUAUCCCUUCCUAGGCGUGGUACAAAAAAAAUCUUUGGCUCUUUUUUAGUCUCUGGUGGUUUUGCACCUAAGGCGAGAAGAGAAAAAGGAACAUUUC
rnacentral:snoRNA from 1 species